rnacentral:lncRNA from 1 species
CGGGAAGGGGAAUAACCAUCGAAAUGUAAAUAAGAAAUACUCAAGUUAAUAAAGAUAAAAAAAUUAUAUUUAAGCUGAAAAAUCUUGAUCCAUACUUUAAACCUAGCAAAGGCAGGUGAAUUUGAGUUUGAGGCCAACCUGAGCUACUUCAUAAUACUCUGUCUAAAAACAAACAAACAAAUAAAUUUGUGUUCAUUUACCAAAAAGAAGAAGAAGAAGAAGAAGAAGAAGAAGAAGAGGAAGAGGAAGAGGAAGAGGAAGAGGAAGAGGAAGAGGAAGAGGAAGAAGAAGAAGAAGAAGAAGAAGAAGAAGAAGAAGAAGAAGAAGAAGAAGAAGAAGAAGAAGAAGAAGAAGAAGAAGAAG